rnacentral:lncRNA from 1 species
GCAGCACUGCCCGCCGAUGGUCGGAUAAGGCGCAGCUUCUUCAACCUACCUGUGAUCAACCCAGACAGACUGCGCACAGCAAAAGCUUUGGUGGACAAGGCUGUGAAGUUGAAGAAGGUGUUUUCUGUGCAGGGUCCGUACCCUGUGGUCCGUGCUGCCCUCAGGGCAAGGGGAUGGGUGGAACGUUACCUCCCACGCCCGACCCCACAGAUUAGGCAUCCCCAUGGAGAUGAUGAUGAUGAUGGCGACAACAGGGAUGACAGUGAUGACAAUGAUGGUCAGCGCUCUUCUCGCCUGGUUCGUAACGAAUCUACGUAUCUCUACUGGACAAUGCGGAGAGAUGCGAUUGACUGUCGCACACUGCGAAAGGAGCAGAUGAUCAAUCAUUAUGCAAAGGCAGGAACUUUCACCACAAAGGUUGGUUUAUGUGUAAACCUAAGAAACCUGCAGUGGUUUGACGCAGCGGACCCAGACACCUUCUUCCCACGUUGCUACAGGCUCGGCGCAGAGGACGAGAAGCAUGCCUUCAUUGAGGACUUCCGGAGGACAGCCUGCAACAGCCUGUUGCAGUACGUUGUUGAGAGGCAUUACAGGCAGCAGCGGGAGGGAGAAGUUGCCAGGGUCAAAGUCACAGGGCCAAGUCAGAAGAAGCAAAAUAAGCGUCGAGCCAUGCAAAUGGUUGGCUCUGGAAUGAUUGACACUGCAUUACAAGUUUGCCAGGACUUCCUGGACUGUUUAGAUCAUCAUGAUAUUGACAUUGCCAAAGAAACUUCAUCUUCUCUCACAGAACAACAGUGGGCAGAAUUUCUUCACAACUAUUACCUUGUUGUGCAUGAUGGAGUGGAAAUGGAGGAUAGUGCUUGGUAUGUCGAUCGAUGUCACACAAUGCUGCAGAGGCUGCAAGCGGUCUGUCCGCAGCUUGACACAGACGGAAUCCAUAACAUCUGGAUUGUCAAACCUGGAGCCAAGUCACGCGGCAGAGGCAUCCUGUGUUUUAAUCGACUGCAUGACAUCCUGAAGCUCGUGGACAGCGAUCCUUCUUUGAUCAAGGACAGCAAGUGGGUGGUGCAGAAGUACCUGGAGCGUCCCUUUCUGAUUCAUGGCACCAAGUUCGAUGUACGCCAGUGGUUCCUGGUUACCGACUGGAAUCCCCUGACUGUAUGGUUCUACCGGGAAUGCUACUUGCGCUUCUCUACUCAGCCCUACUCUUUAGAAACACUGGAUAGCUCAAUACACCUAUGCAACAACUCUAUCCAGAAGCACUUCCAGCCAUCAGAGCUACGUCACCCAGAGGUGCCUGAGGACAACAUGUGGUCAUGUGAGCAGUUCUGUUCCUUCCUGUCCAAGCAGGGCCGGGAAGCCCAGUGGAGGGACAUCGUGGUCCCUGGGAUGCAGCAGGCGGUGGUACAUGCCCUACAGACUGCUCAGGACCUUGUGGAGUCGCGGAGGGGUAGCUUUGAGCUCUACGGGGCAGACUUCAUGUUGGGCCGAGACUUGAGACCAUGGCUGAUUGAGAUCAAUGCCAGCCCAACCAUGGCCCCCUCCACAGCUGUGACAGCUCGUCUGUGUGCCGCUGUACAGGAGGAUACCCUACGUGUGGUGCUGGACCGCCGACUUGACCGGAACGCCUCCACUGGUGGCUUCGAGCUCAUAUACAAACAGCCCGCUGUUGAAGUUCCACAGUAUGUGGGAGUAAAUCUGCUGGUGGAGGGGGCUUCCCUGAGACGACCUCGCCUUGCUUCUCAGAGAAGGAACACCUUCCUCCAAGAGCAUGAAGCCGACGCCCAGCCUAGACCCAGCCAGCUGGGACAAGAGGCAGCUGCAAAAACUGCCAAAUCUGCUGUCCGCAAACCAAGAGCAACUGCAGAGAAGCAAGUGCAGCUCAGGCCAACCAUAUCCUACAACAAGACGCCUGCCGCGACCAUAUUCCAUUCUACAGAAAAUGAGAACCACACAGAGAGUGAGAGGAAAGGACUAGCGCCUCCCUGCUUGGGGUGUCUUGCGAUGGACUGGCAUCCCAUCCUAAGUGCGCCCCCUCCUCCUUCGGUGUUAUGCCCUGUGUUGCUGGGUAAGGCUCCGGCUCGUCGUGACGACAAGCGGUUGUUGAUGAUGGACGGAUGGUAUCCCCAGCACUUUCUAACAACUUCCAGAAUGAGCACAACUAUCAUGUCAAAUGUUACUUUUUCAAGAGAAAUUCACACACUUGUCAUCCACAUAUUUACAGGUGAGCUUCAAGUGUACACCACAACAUUAAUAUGUAUCUCCUUCCAAGCAUGUAACUUAAGGCAGUCUGCUUAUCAUGUUCUGUAA